rnacentral:rRNA from 1 species
GAUGAACGCUGGCGGCGUGCCUAAUACAUGCAAGUCGAGCGAACAGACGAGGAGCUUGCUCCUCUGACGUUAGCGGCGGACGGGUGAGUAACACGUGGAUAACCUACCUAUAAGACUGGGAUAACUUCGGGAAACCGGAGAUAAUAACGGAUAAUAUAUUGAACCGCAUGGUUCAAUAGUGAAAGACGGUUUUGCUGUCACUUAUAGCUGGAUCCGCGCCGCAUUAGCUAGUUGGUAAGGUAACGGCUUACCAAGGCAACGAUGCGUAGCCGACCUGAGAGGGUGAUCGGCCACACUGGAACUGAGACACGGUCCAGACUCCUACGGGAGGCAGCAGUAGGGAAUCUUCCGCAAUGGGCGAAAGCUUGACGGAGCAACGCCGCGUGAGUGAUGAAGGUCUUCGGAUCGUAAAACUCUGUUAUUAGGGAAGAACAAAUGUGUAAGUAACUAUGCACGUCUUGACGGUACCUAAUCAGAAAGCCACGGCUAACUACGUG